CAGCCUGAACACCAUCAUUAUUACUACCACCAUUACCACAGGUAACGGUGCGGGCUGACGCAUACAGGAAAAAAGAGAAAAAGCCCGCACCUGACAAGGUGCGGGCUUUUUUUU
rnacentral:sRNA from 1 species